rnacentral:rRNA from 1 species
GCCUACGGGACGCAGCAGUCGGGAAUAUUGCGCAAUGGAGGAAACUCUGACGCAGUGACGCCGCGUAUAGGAAGAAGGUUUUCGGAUUGUAAACUAUUGUCGUUAGGGAAGAUACAAGACAGUACCUAAGGAGGAAGCCCCGGCUAACUAUGUGCCAGCAGCCGCGGUAAUACAUAGGGGGCAAGCGUUAUCCGGAUUUAUUGGGUGUAAAGGGUGCGUAGACGGAGAAACAAGUUGGUUGUGAAAUCCCUCGGCUCAACUGAGGAACUGCAACCAAAACUAUUUCCCUUGAGUGUCGGAGAGGA